UACGGAGGGGACUAGCGUUGUUCGGAAUUACUGGGCGUAAAGCGCACGUAGGCGGAUUGUUUAGUCAGGGGUGAAAUCCCGAGGCUCAACCUCGGAACUGCCUUUGAUACUGGCAAUCUCGAGUCCGGAAGAGGUGAGUGGAAUUCCGAGUGUAGAGGUGAAAUUCGUAGAUAUUCGGAGGAACACCAGUGGCGAAGGCGGCUCACUGGUCCGGUACUGACGCUGAGGUGCGAAAGCGUGGGGAGCAAACAGG
rnacentral:rRNA from 1 species